AUCUCUUCUCGGCCUUUUGGCUAAGAUCAAGUGUAAAAUGUGUAAUCAGAUGACUUUGUGGGGGUAUAUUGUUUUCUUUGAUUUUUUGUUAUCUCUA
ensembl:snRNA U2 U2 spliceosomal RNA